CGUUAGCGGCGGACGGGUGAGUAACACUGGGUAACCUACCUAUAAGACUGGGAUAACUUCGGGAAACCGGAGCUAAUACCGGAUAAUAUUUCGAACCGCAUGGUUCGAUAGUGAAAGAUGGUUUUGCUAUCACUUAUAGAUGGACCUGCGCCGUAUUAGCUAGUUGGUAAGGUAACGGCUUACCAAGGCGACGAUACGUAGCCGACCUGAGAGGGUGAUCGGCCACACUGGAACUGAGACACGGUCCAGACUCCUACGGGAGGCAGCAGCC
rnacentral:rRNA from 1 species